CAGCAGUCACAAGUGCUGCUUUGCCUGUGAGGAAGUGAAGGGUUUUCUGUUUAUUGCAUCACCCUGUGCUUGGUGGCCGUGACCUGGUCCUGGCUAUGCCCAGGGGGAUGCUAAAGACCUGCAGUAGCAAUAGGACCCCUAGUUGCUGAGACCACCGCAGGAAGGAACUUGGGAGGUGUCCAAAGGGUAACCAGACCAUGGAAAAUCACCAGGCAGGGGAACGGGGACCUGAAUUUUCCUGUGCUGUUGCAGA